rnacentral:tRNA from 1 species
GGCCCCCGUAGCUCAGUGGAUUAGAGCAGCAGCCUUCUAAGCUGUUGGUCGGAGGUUCGAGUCCUCCCGGGGUCGCCA